UGGGGAAUUUUGGACAAUGGGGGAAACCCUGAUCCAGCCAUCCCGCGUGUGCGAUGAAGGCCUUCGGGUUGUAAAGCACUUUUGGCAGGAAAGAAACGUCAUGGGUUAAUACCCCGUGAAACUGACGGUACCUGCAGAAUAAGCACCGGCUAACUACGUGCCAGCAGCCGCGGUAAUACGUAGGGUGCAAGCGUUAAUCGGAAUUACUGGGCGUAAAGCGUGCGCAGGCGGUUCGGAAAGAAAGAUGUGAAAUCCCAGAGCUCAACUUUGGAACUGCAUUUUUAACUACCGGGCUAGAGUGUGUCAGAGGGAGGUGGAAUUCCGCGUGUAGCAGUGAAAUGCGUAGAUAUGCGGAGGAACACCGAUGGCGAAGGCAGCCUCCUGGGAUAACACAGACGCUCAUGCACGAAAGCGUGGGGAGCAAACAGG
rnacentral:rRNA from 1 species